UAAGGAAUAUUGGUCAAUGGACGCAAGUCUGAACCAGCCAUGCCGCGUGCAGGAAGACGGCCCUAUGGGUUGUAAACUGCUUUUGCAGGGGAAUAAACCUCAUUACGUGUAAUGAGCUGAAUGUACUCUGAGAAUAAGGAUCGGCUAACUCCGUGCCAGCAGCCGCGGUAAUACGGAGGAUCCAAGCGUUAUCCGGAUUUAUUGGGUUUAAAGGGUGCGUAGGUGGCCUGUUAAGUCAGGGGUGAAAGACGGUAGCUUAACUAUCGCAGUGCCCUUGAUACUGAUGGGCUUGAAUGAACUAGAGGUAGGCGGAAUGUGACAAGUAGCGGUGAAAUGCAUAGAUAUGUCACAGAACACCAAUUGCGAAGGCAGCUUACUAUGGUUUUAUUGACACUGAGGCACGAAAGCGUGGGGAUCAAACA
rnacentral:rRNA from 1 species